rnacentral:lncRNA from 1 species
CUUGGCUCAGGUCACUCUUCAGAAUCGACGAGCUAUAGACUUACUCACAGCCGAAAAAGGUGGAACCUGUCUUUUCUUGAGGGAAGAAUGCUGUUACUACAUCAAUGAAUCAGGCCUUGUGGAAACUAAUGUAGUCAAGCUCACCGACUUGGCUACCUCUUUGAAAAAUCCACCAAACCAAAACCCAUUUGCCACCUUCUUUUUAGCCCACUUCCAAUCGUGGCUGUUGCCUCUUUUAAGGCCCAUAUGUCUUCUUUUCCUGAUGUGUCUGUUCCUGCCCUGUCUGCUUCACUUCCUUCAGGGCCAAUUAUGGAAGAUCUCUAACCAAACUUUCAACCAGCCUCUGCUUAGGUACUAGCAGCCUCUGAUGACCAAUGAGCCCCCCAACAUCUUCAAGAGAACAGCUCACUCAUUGCUGAAGCUCACUACCAGGCUCGAUGGAAUGCAAUGGACAUCGGACAGUGGGAGACAACGAGCCCGGAGAACCUCUUAAUCUGCCAUCCUGGAUUCUUGAGCCUUUAUGUCCUUUUAAGCCUCCUCAUGGCCCUUGGCCUCUUCUCUGUCAGUCCCCCG